ACGGGAGGCAGCAGUGGGGAAUAUUGCACAAUGGGCGAAAGCCUGAUGCAGCGACGCCGCGUGAGUGAUGAAGUAUUUCGGUAUGUAAAGCUCUAUCAGCAGGGAAGAUAAUGACGGUACCUGACUAAGAAGCACCGGCUAAAUACGUGCCAGCAGCCGCGGUAAUACGUAUGGUGCAAGCGUUAUCCGGAUUUACUGGGUGUAAAGGGAGCGCAGGCGGUACGGCAAGUCUGAUGUGAAGGCCCGGGGCUCAACCCCGGUACUGCAUUGGAAACUGUUGAACUAGAGUGUCGGAGGGGUAAGUGGAAUUCCUAGUGUAGCGGUGAAAUGCGUAGAUAUUAGGAGGAACACCAGUGGCGAAGGCGACUUACUGGAUGAUAACUGACGCUGAGGCUCGAAAGCGUGGGGAGCAAACAGGAUUAGAUACCCUGGUA
rnacentral:rRNA from 1 species